AGGGGUAGGGGGAAGGUGGUGGCGGUGAAGGCUGUGGUGAUGGAGGCGGCGGUGGUGGCAGCACUGGCUGUGGGCUUGGAGGGGGAGGGGGAGCAGGUGGCGGUGGUGAAUGAUGUGGUGAUGGAGGCGGUGGUGAUGGAGGCGGCGGUGGUGAAGUCUGUGGUGAUGGAGGCGGCGGUGGUGAAGGUUUUGGUGAUGGAGGCGGUGGUGGUGAAGGCUGUGGUGAUGAUGGAGGCGGCGGUGGUGAAGGUUUUGGUGAUGGAGGCGGUGGUGGUGAAGGCUGUGGUGAUGAUGGAGGCGGUGGUGGUGAAGGCUGUGGUGAUGGAGGCGGCGGUGGUGAAGUCUGUGGUGAUGGAGGCGGCGGUGGUGAAGGUUUUGGUGAUGGAGGCGGUGGUGGUGAAGGCUGUGGUGAUGAUGGAGGCGGCGGUGGUGAAGUUUGUGGUGAUGGAGGCGGCGGUGGUGAAGGUUUUGGUGAUGGAGGCGGUGGUGGUGAAGGCUGUGGUGAUGAUGGAGGCGGUGGUGGAAAGGCUGUGGUGAUGGAGGCGGCGGUGGUGAAGGCUGUGGUGAUGGAGGCGGCGGUGAUGGAGUCUGUGGUGAUGGUGGCGGCGGUGGUGAUGGAGGCGGCGGUGGUGAAGGCUGUGGUGAUGGAGGCGGCGGUGGUGAAGGCUGUGGUGAUGGAGGCGACGGUGGUGGAGGCGGCGGUGGGCAUGGAGGGGGAGGGGGAGGAGGACAGUCUUGGUAUUUGGGGGAAGGAACAGGAGGGCUGGCACCUCCUCCUCCACCUAUGAUUAUCUCGAAGGCUUCAACCUUACAAUGGUACAAACAUAAAUGCACCAACAAUGUUGAGAUCAAAAGUGAAGAAAUGAAAGAGAAGGCACCCAU
rnacentral:lncRNA from 1 species